UGGGGAAUAUUGCACAAUGGGCGCAAGCCUGAUGCAGCCAUGCCGCGUGUAUGAAGAAGGCCUUCGGGUUGUAAAGCACUUUCAGCGGGGAGGAAGGCGUUAAGGUUAAUAACCUUGGCGAUUGACGUUACCCGCAGAAGAAGCACCGGCUAACUCCGUGCCAGCAGCCGCGGUAAUACGGAGGGUGCAAGCGUUAAUCGGAAUUACUGGGCGUAAAGCGCACGCAGGCGGUUUGUUAAGUCAGAUGUGAAAUCCCCGGGCUCAACCUGGGAACUGCAUCUGAUACUGGCAAGCUUGAGUCUCGUAGAGGGGGGUAGAAUUCCAGGUGUAGCGGUGAAAUGCGUAGAGAUGUGGAGGAAUACCGGUGGCGAAGGCGGCCCCCUGGACAAAGACUGACGCUCAGGUGCGAAAGCGUGGGGAGCAAACAGG
rnacentral:rRNA from 1 species